AUUGAACGUUGGCGGCAGGCUUAACACAUGCAAGUCGAACGAGAAAAUGCCUUCGGGCAUGAGUACAGUGGCGGACGGGUGAGUAACGCGUAGGAACUUACCUGGUAGUGGGGGAUAACUCGGGGAAACUAGAGCUAAUACCGCAUACGCGCUACGGAGGAAAGAGGGCCUACAUUUAUAAGCUCUAUUUACCAGCGGCGCCUGCGUUGGAUUAGGUAGUUGGUAGGGUAAAGGCCUACCAAGGCGGCGAGCCAUGGCUGGGCUGAGAGGACGAACGGCCACUCUGUAGCUGCGACACGGUCCAGACUCCUACGGGAGGCAGCAGUGGGGAAUCUUGGGCAAUGGGCGCAAGCCUGACCCAGCCAUGCCGCGUGUGCGAGGAAGGCCUUCGGGUUGUAAAGCACUUUCAGUGGUGAAGAAGAGCCAGGGGCUAAUACCCCCGGGUCUUGACGUUAGCCACAGAAGAAGCACCGGCUAACUCCGUGCCAGCAGCCGCCGCAGUAA
rnacentral:rRNA from 1 species